UUGCUUUAUCAACAUCGAUUGUGUUAGGCAUAUAUUUUUAUAGGUGUAAAUGUUUGUAAUGCACUAAAUCCGGCGGACCAUCAACAGAUAUUUGUCCGGCGUAUGGCCCAUCACCAGAUAUUGCCUAGCUAACCGUCCAUUAACAGAAAUAUUAAAUGUAUCUCCAUACCCAUUAAAUCUCCAUACCUAUUUAAUCUCCAUACCAAUCUGUUUACUUUGGAAAAUGAAUGCUAACAAUUUUUAAUUUAUUUAUUUUUAGGAAUGUGGAUGCAUCGCCCUCGCCAGCAACUCGCACAGGAGUACGCAGAUCUCGAUCAGUUUUGAGUCCAAUUGAGAAUCAUACUGAGAAUGUGGAUGCAUUGCCCUCGCCAGCAACUCGCACAGGAGUACGCAGGUCUCUAUCAGUUUUGAGUCCAAUUGAGAAUCAUACUGAAUUUCACAAUGAAAAUGACCAGGCGCCUGUUCCAAAGAGAGCAAAGACGAGCAAGCAAGCAACAAAAAGGCAGUCAACUUUGUCAUGGAAAUCAGAGACUGAUAAUGACAUGGAU